AACGAACGCUGGCGGCAUGCCUAACACAUGCAAGUCGAACGAGACCUUCGGGUCUAGUGGCGCACGGGUGCGUAACGCGUGGGAACCUGCCCUUAGGUUCGGAAUAACUCCCCGAAAGGGGUGCUAAUACCGGAUAAUGUCUUCGGACCAAAGAUUUAUCGCCUUUGGAUGGGCCCGCGUUGGAUUAGCUAGUUGGUAGGGUAAAAGCCUACCAAGGCGACGAUCCAUAGCUGGUCUGAGAGGAUGAUCAGCCACACUGGGACUGAGACACGGCCCAGACUCGGAAGGGAGGCAGCAGGGGGGGAUGUUGAAAAAUGGGGGGAAGUCUGAUGCAGCAACGCUGAGUGCGGGAUGAAGGGCUGCGGGUUGGAAACAGCGUUCGCCUGUGACGAAGCGUGAGUGACGGUAAUGGGUAAAGAAGCAACGGCUAACUACGUG
rnacentral:rRNA from 1 species